rnacentral:rRNA from 1 species
GCGUCUGGUACAGCGGAGGGAUCAUU